AAAUUGAAGAGUUUGAUCAUGGCUCAGAUUGAACGCUGGCGGCAGGCCUAACACAUGCAAGUCGAGCGGAAACGACAACAUUGACCCUUCGGGUGAUUUGUUGGGCGUCGAGCGGCGGACGGGUGAGUAAUGCUUAGGAAUUUGCCCAGUCGAGGGGGACAACAGUUGGAAACGACUGCUAAUACCGCAUACGCCCUACGGGGGAAAGCAGGGGAC
rnacentral:rRNA from 1 species